AGGGGCAGAGGAAUAGCGGGAAAUGUUUCUUCUUUCUUUUUUUGGCAUGGUGUGCGCUCAAACGAAACAGUUUGGUAGAACCAGAAUGAAUGAAUAGUCCAUUCAUGCCUUUAGUAAGUCCCAAUGGAUAGUCCUUUAGAAGGGGAAGAUAUGGCGAGAUUUUUUGGAAGAGUACGCACCUGCAAAAUAUUUCGAAGCGAGAGGUACAAAUCUGUGACAAGCGCCUAAGGACAAGAUCUGCUUAGAACUGUAUGAAACAGAAGGCUUGACAGAAACCAGAUAACAUGUUCAAUUCCCUCCAACAUCAGCAACCUAGCAAGCCUUGAAGAAUUAUAUUCAAAAGCUAAAAUAUACCAUUGGAGGCUGGAUACAGUAAUGGUGGAAAUAGCUGAAGUCAAUUUUCAGUACCUUACCUAAACAACCAACAAAUUCUUAUUUUCCACUAGACUAGAUGAUCUAGUUAAGCACUUGAAUACACUCACAGCUUAGGAUACCACAUCAUUAUAUCUGGAUUGAAGUGUAAAAGAGAUGUAUGACUGCUAUUUAGGCUCUGCUAGCUGUGAAUUGAAACAAAUCUAGAUUUUUCUCUUUGUAGUAUCUCAUUUUUCUUUAAAAUGAGUUCAUUUCUCAUCAGAGACAAACAUAUAUUUGAUAUCUGGCUUGCUACUUAUUUAGAUUUCAUUCAUUUCGUGUACGUCAUUACUAUUUAGUUGUGAAACCAAUGGGGUUUUAAGGUCCAUUUGUAUUUCAGCAAAUUUGAUUUGCUAUUUGUAGUGACUAUAUGCUAAGCGUUGGAAUCAAAGCUUAUUAGAGCAUUUAGUCUUUGAUUACGUUGAGAUUAAUCUUGUUAUAGUA